rnacentral:rRNA from 1 species
AGUCGAGCGGACCUUUCGGGGUCAGCGGCGGACGGGUGAGUAACGCGUGGGAAUGUGCCCUUUGCUACGGAAUAGUCCUGGGAAACUGGGGGUAAUACCGUAUGUGCCCUUCGGGGGAAAGAUUUAUCGGCAAAGGAUCAGCCCGCGUUGGAUUAGGUAGUUGGUGGGGUAAUGGCCUACCAAGCCUACGAUCCAUAGCUGGUUUGAGAGGAUGAUCAGCCACACUGGGACUGAGACACGGCCCAGACUCC